UGUUUUGUGUUGUCUUAGGCAUGCACUAAUAAUGAAAAUAUAUGCAUAUGUGAAUUAGAUUUUCACCCCCCAGCAUGUGCUGUAAGGAAAAGUAGAAUCAUUCAGUAUCUUUCACCGUGGAGAAGAGGCUCUUUCAAUGGCAGAGCUACAGAGUAUCCUAGGAAGAACUGGCUGCUUAUAAGUUUCUACAUUUCUCUACCUAUUCUUUUCAUUAUAGCCAUAAUAACUGUUAAAUGGAAAUCUCUGAAGGGAUGCUUAUCUCCAAAGGAAUCACCAAUUACUGAAUCUGGAUCAGAAUUCAGUACAUAUUCAUAUAGCAGUAGCAGUGAACAUAGUACCUAAGAUGCCAAAAGCAAAGGUCUGGAGAAAAGAAAUUACAAUUUACUGCAUCAGAAGUGAGACUAAUAGAACAAAGGAAAAGUCUUCCAUUCUUCUGACACUCCCCCUUUCCCUUGCCAAUCCAUGGUUUGCCCCUUUUGAAGAUAUUCAUUACAGUAAACUGAAUUUUUGGAACCAUUGUGAA